UACAUGUGGGGCAAGCGUUGUUCGGAAUUACUGGGCAUAAAGGGUGCGUAGGUGGUUUGGUAAGUCAGUGGUGAAAUCGUCCGGCCCAACCGGACACGUGCCAAUGAUACUGCCGAACUCGAGUGCGUGAGGGGUGGGGGGAACGAGCAGUGUAGCGGUGAAAUGCGUAGAUAUUGUGAGGAACACUAGUGGCGAAGGCGAAUCUCUGGACAGUUCCUGACGCUGAGGAGCGAAAGCGUGGGGAGCGAACAGG
rnacentral:rRNA from 1 species